rnacentral:rRNA from 1 species
UACGUAGGGUCCGAGCGUUGUCCGGAAUUAUUGGGCGUAAAGGGCUCGUAGGCGGUCCGUCACGUCGGGAGUGAAAACUCGGAGCUCAACUCCGAGCCUGCUUCCGAUACGGGCAGACUGGAGGUAUGCAGGGGAGAACGGAAUUCCUGGUGUAGCGGUGAAAUGCGCAGAUAUAGGAGGAACACCGAUGGCGAAGGCAG